AGAACGAACGCUGGCGGCAGGCCUAAAACAUGCAAGUCGAACGCUCUAGCAAUAGAGAGUGGCGCACGGGUGCGUAACAUGUGGGAAUAUGCCUUUUGGUACGGAAUAACUUUUGGAAACGAAAGCUAAUACCGUAUGGUCCCUUCGGGGUAAAGAUUUAUCGCCAAAAGAGUAGCCCGCACUGGAUUAGCUAGUUGGUGAGGUAAUGGCUCACCAAGGCGACGAUCCAUAGCUGGUCUGAGAGGACGAUCAGCCACACUGGGACUGAGACACGGCCCAGACUCCUACGGGAGGCAGCAGUUAGGAAUCUUGGACAAUGGACGCAAGUCUGAUCCAGCCAUGCCGCGUGAGUGAUGAAGGCCUUCGGGUUGUAAAGCUCUUAGCCGACGAAUAUAAUGACUGUAGUCGGAGAAUAAGCCCGGCUAACUUCGUGCCAGCAGCCGC
rnacentral:rRNA from 1 species